rnacentral:misc_RNA from 1 species
GUGAAGAACGCAGCGAAAUGCGAUAAGUAAUGUGAAUUGCAGAAUUCAGUGAAUCAUCGAAUCUUUGAACGCACAUUGCGCCCGCCAGUAUUCUGGCGGGCAUGCCUGUUCGAGCGUCAUUACAACCCUCAGGCCCCCGGGCCUGGCGUUGGGGAUCGGCGGAGCCCCCCGUGGGCACACGCCGUCCCCCAAAUACAGUGGCGGUCCCGCCGCAGCUUCCAUCGCGUAGUAGCUAACACCUCGCGACUGGAGAGCGGCGCGGCCACGCCGUAAAACACCCAACUCUUCUGAAGUUGACCUCGAAUCAGGUAGGAAUACCCGCUGAACUUAAGCAUAUCAAUAAGCGGAGGA